rnacentral:rRNA from 1 species
UACAGAGGGGGCAAGCGUUGUUCGGAAUUACUGGGCGUAAAGGGCGCGUAGGCGGCCUUCUAAGUCGAACGUGAAAUCCCCGGGCUCAACCCGGGAACUGCGUCCGAUACUGGAAGGCUUGAAUCCGGGAGAGGGAUGCGGAAUUCCAGGUGUAGCGGUGAAAUGCGUAGAUAUCGGGAGGAACACCUGUGGCGAAAGCGGCGCACUGGACCAUAACUGACGCUGAUGCGCGAAAGCUAGGGGAGCAAACAGG